UAAAAGAGUCUCAUAUUGACCGAGAGUUUCGGAGAGAUACCGUCUGUUGAAAAAUAAAAUUUUAACUAAAUAAAGAUGUACAAAUUGUUAUUCGUUGUGUUGUUAAUCACAGUGUCAAUUGUUUUGGUUAAUGGGUGGUGUGGCCAACACUUUAAUUAUUGCCAGAAAAAUGAGGAUUGUUGUGAAGGAUUCUGUAACACGGGACUUCCUGAGCCGGUCUGCGAUGACAAACGGGCAAGAGAGCAUCGAAAUUAACGCGGCAAAAUUACAAAUCCUCUUCACUUCUAUACCACGAGAAAGGAGAAGAGAAGAGAUCGGACACAUUUAAGUCCCACUGCAACGUCUACGUCUGUUGCCCAGUUUGAUCGCGUGUCCCAGGAGUCCAAAAUUUUAAUUGGACCUGUGGUUCGUAAUGAGCACGGUGACUGUGAGAAAAACGACCUGCGCAUAGUACUAUAACUCUUUUUAGAUAUUCAAAUUUACUUCUCCGAAAAAAUAAAAAAAAUCAUAAAAAAAACAUUUUUUACCUGAUUAUUAUCUCGUAUUUUGACAAGUGUUUAUUAUUUUAUUUAAAAUAAAAUAUUGAGAAUAAAAAAAAAAAUACAAAAUUA